rnacentral:snRNA from 1 species
GUGCUUGCUUCGGCAGCACAUAUACUAAAAUUGAAAUGAUACAGAGAAGAUUAGCAUGGCCCCUGCACAAGGAUGAUA